CCCAAAGACCCAACCCACGCAGCCGGUCAACCCACAAGCCGACCCACUACUAGCCCACACCCCAUGACCACGCCCAUGCGGUCACAAGACACUGACAGGCGGACAGCUUAUGCCUCACAACCUCACUCUCAUAGCCCCACAUGGUCACACUAACACCCCCGCCCAGAACCCAGAUCGGCAGAUCCUCAGCACUGCAACACGGAAGCGGCGCUGCUGCUGCACUCACAGCCUCACUCUCACAGCCGACAGCCCCACACGAUCACAACCCCCCCGGUCUAGAACCCAGAUCGGCAGAUCCUUAGCACUACAGCACAGAAGCGGUGAUGCCGCUGCGACAACCUAGCCCUACACCUACAGUCAAACACUCGCUAGCCUCGUCUCGGCCACGACCCAUCGCUGGGAACCUUCAGAGUUCAGCCUUCAGCCUCGCCGGUCCUUACAGUGUAGAAUCAACAUUGCCAAGGAAGAUGAAAUCAAGAAAUUACCGAAGUGCCGAAUGUCGACCGACGACAUCACGCCGACUGCCGAACCACAGAACAAGGUUUUUACUAUUUCUCGAGGGCUGGUCUAAAUGGCAGGAAGUUCAAGCAGUGUUCCGAUGACUGUGUUGUUGUACAUAGAGGGGAAUUAUCACAAGAGUAGAAGAUGUUAGUUAUAGUACUAAGCAUGUUCGAGCAAUUCGAAUUGGCAAGAGGGCAAAAUUAAACAAAUUGUAUGUGAAGAUAUACAGAUAUUUGCAUAUUGAUCCAAACCAAUAUGCAUUGCGGGUGACUGCAAGAUACCCUUUGCGGGGUUAAAUGAUACAUUACUCUAUAAGAUUAUUAUAAUAGAUGACUAUGGUUUGCGUA